GCGCCCAUAGCUCAGAUGGAUAGAGUAUUGGUUUCCGAAGCCAAGGGUCGCAGGUUCGAAUCCUGCUGGGCGCACCA
rnacentral:tRNA from 4 species